AAAAAUUGAGGUAUUCAUACCUCUUUUUGUAUUUAAAACCUUACUCUAUAAAACCCAAAAAAUUUUAUAUAUGAAAAUGAA
rnacentral:misc_RNA from 1 species